GCUUGGGUUUUCCAAGGGAUCGUUCCUUAAGCGAUCCCAAAACUCCCAGCAGAGAGGGAUUGGGAAAGAACUUCCUGGUGGGAUUGGGAAAGAACUUCCUGGUGGGAUUGGGGAAGAACUUCCUGGUGGGAUUGGGAAAGAACUUCCUGGUGGGAUUGGGAAAGAACUUCCUGGUGGGAUUGGGAAAGAAUUUCCUGGUGGGAUUGGGAAAGAACUUCCUGGUGGGAUUGGGAAAGAACUUCGUGGUGGGAUUGGGAAAGAACUUCCUGGUGGGAUUGGGAAGGAACUUCCUGGCGGGAUUGGGAAAGAACUUCCUGGUGGGAUUGGGAAAGAACUUCCUGGUGGGAUUGGGAAAGAACUUCCUGGUGGGACUGGGAAAGAACUUCCUGGAGGGAUUGGGAAGGAACUUCCUGGUGGGAUUGGGAAAGAACUUCCUGGUGGGAUUGGGAAAGAACUUCCUGGUGGGAUUGGGGGGAGC